rnacentral:rRNA from 1 species
UACAGAGGGGGCAAGCGUUAUUCGGAAUUAUUGGGCGUAAAGGGCGCGUAGGCGGUCAGGCAAGUGGAAGGUGAAAUCCCUCGGCUUAACCGAGGAACUGCCCUCCAAACUGCUUGGCUUGAGACCGGGAGAGGUGAGUGGAAUUCCCAGUGUAGCGGUGAAAUGCGUAGAUAUUGGGAGGAACACCAGUGGCGAAGGCGGCUCACUGGACCGGUACUGACGCUGAUGCGCGAAAGCGUGGGGAGCAAACGGG